rnacentral:lncRNA from 1 species
AACAUCUUCAUUUUAUAGCUGAGGAAACUGAGGCAUAUAUUAUUUAAAUGGUGUGCCUAAGGUCAGACAUUUAGAAAAUGGCAAAGCUAUAAAUCAAAUUUUUGUCUAAUACCAAAAGUCUCAUUCUUCACUCUGCCCUAUCACCCUCCCUCUCUGAUACCCUCCCUGUUUGGAUUGGGGCAUGCAAAAGAGUGGAGAGCAGUCCUUUUUAGGUCACCACCAUGCAAAACUAUUUCAACUUCUGCAAUCAGGCCAUCCCAUCAGACAUGUGACAUGACAAGGGAACAUUUCCUCGUUCAGAGUGGCAUUAAAGGAAAUGAAAGCCGACAGAUCUUUGUUAUGCACGAGAAAACAACAUAAAUGGGAAAAUCUAUGAACAUCACCUCUGUAAGUCUCUGGAAAAUUUGCAGCAAAAACAAAUGGGCCAGAAUGUGAAUAGAUAAUGUUUCACCAAUGGGAACCUGGAAACCAUGAGGCCAAGCUCACAGGAAAAAUGAUCCAUUCUGUUCAGCAUGAAAUGAACUCUUUGGUGAAAUAGAGGAGGGCAGCUUAACUACCUGUUUCCCAAACAUAAGAUCUAUAGAUCUGAUUUUAACUUCUAGAAGGGGAAAGAAUGCUUCAGCAUAUUUCUCCUGGCACAUAGGCAAAGAUGAGAAGGAUUCUUCCACAGGCAAAUGGGAGCCCUUUGACGGUGUCCCUGCAACUUAGCAGUGCUUGGACAUCAGAGUCCGCUCCACACUCAUUAGGCUCUUGCUAUAGGUGGACAUGGAGAAAUAAGGGCACCCUGAGGAAUUAGAACAUGGCAUAGGAUAGUGCUGCUUAGAACAAGGGCUAUUGGACAAGAUACCAUCCUUUCUGACAAGGAGAUAGUUUCUAGUCGAUUGAAGGAAUGAUUUGAUUCUCAGGGGAUGUUAGUUUGUGAUACACCAAAGGUUCCACGAUUGCCCUACUGGGGCAUAUUAUGAAUUUCCCUGUUUCUAGUCUACUUGGGGAUUUGUUCUGCUUCUCCCUAGAAAAGCUUCUUCUUCAUGCAGAUUCCAUUUAACUUUUAGUGACAAACUAACAGUCCCACCCCCUUGCAACUAUUGGGAAAUGUGAAUCAUAUGCACAUUUUCAAGGAAUCUGGUUUUCUAUGC